CGCGGGUUGAGCGGGAGGCGGGCGGGAGUAAUCUGGUUGGUGGUCUCCCUCGCGGGGGCCGGGCCCCCAGCCGGGAAUCGAGGCCGGAGUUGGUGUCGGGAAGGAUGACCACGCUCACGCGACAGGACCUCAACUUUGGUCAAGUGGUGGCCGAUGUGCUCUGCGAGUUCCUGGAGGUGGCGGUGCACCUGAUCCUCUACGUGCGUGAGGUCUACCCGGUGGGCAUCUUCCAGAAGCGUAAGAAGUACAAUGUGCCUGUCCAGAUGUCCUGUCAUCCGGAGCUGAACCAGUAUAUCCAGGACACAUUGCACUGCGUCAAGCCGCUCCUGGAAAAGGCUGUACCUUCACCGUCUUAGUGCACACGAGAGAAGCUGCCACUCGCAACAUGGAGAAGAUCCAGGUCAUCAAGGACUUCCCCUGGAUCCUGGCAGACGAGCAGGAUGUCCACAUGCACGACCCCCGACUGAUACCUCUAAAGACCAUGACAUCAGACAUCUUAAAGAUGCAGCUCUACGUAGAAGAGCGGGCGCAUAAAAGCAGCUGAGGGUGCACCUGCCCUCCCCCGUACCCCCCAGGAAAGCCACGACUGUCAGACUUUGGGGGCCCAGCCUUGGGCCGUGCUGCAGGGCCACCCUGAUUCCAAGUGCUCUUAUUGUCUCUGUGUAUGGACCACCCCUGCCUCCAGCCCUGGGUUGCUCAGGCCUGGUUGCCUUCGUGGAGGAAUCGCUCCCUUCUCCGCCCAGGAGGACAGGGAAGAGUGCUGGGACCUCAGUUUCUCAGCCUUCUGGGAUUCGGCCGGCCGGGAUUCUGUCUGUCUCAAAUGCUGUGCUGUGAGUUGUUUCAAUAAAGAGCCCCCAGGGCUGAAAAAAAAAAAAAAAAAAA